ACUGAAGCUGGCUCUGCAUAGCUGCAAAUUGUAAACAAUCAACAUAGGAAGACUAGUUCAAUAGAAUUAAUCCAAGAUCAUAAAACACAUACAAACCCAAAAUCAACUUUGAAUUUUUGUAAAUACGCCCCCUCAUGGAUGCAAAACUUCUCUCAUUUCUAUUCAUUAAUGUUAAUCAUGAAUUUUGCUUGUUUUUACAAUACCUAUGCAUUUAAUUUUAUCACCAUGGGUCAUAAUUUAUUGAUUUUAUUUCAAUUGUAUCCAAUUAUAUUGUGUUAUACUUCAUUCGUGAACUAAAAUUGUUAAAUGAUAUGGGCCCCUUGUAGAUCUAGGAAUUGUUGAUAAAAGAGUUGCAGUUCUAAGCA
rnacentral:misc_RNA from 1 species